CAUUCUUCAUCGAAUUAGAUCGACGAUCUAGCACCGAUGGAAUUUCGAUUCUGUUUACUGAAUCACAUGAAAUUUGACCCAACUCUCUAUUUGGAAUGAAAUGUAUGAACUACGUAUGAACAGAGGAAUAAAGAGAAUUUUCUACUUAAAUUGUAAGUUGCAACAGAUCCAAAUGCAAAGGAAUUGAUAAAAAAUCCUAGAAACAGAAUUCUACUUAUUAAUUAUUAAGGUCAUAGGGUUUUAUAUAGAAUAGCAAAACAAAAAAGAAAAUGCUUCAAAUUAGACCAUUAUUAUGAUAUUAGAUCUUCGAAUUUUAGAAAAAUCAAAAGAUUCGGAGACAAAGACAAAAAAAUCAGAUAGAAUCCUUAGCACUUAACUACCUUUCUGUUAGUCUGUUAGGGAUUUCGUUGUUCAAAAACGAUUCUCAGAAAAGAGAGAUAUUUCUACUUUAAUUAUUUGUGUUUGUGAGUCCAAUACAAUUUGAAGUGUAUAAUAUAAGAAGGGUUGCAUUUAAUAAACAUGUAUGCAGAUAGCUAGAAUAUCCGACGUCUCUUUUAUUGCCGGUUCUAUUCGGAAUAGCCCGAGUUGGGCUCUAUCAAAAGAGCAUUUCGAUUCAAUGCAAAAUUGAAGCGAAGUAGGAUAAUUUUAUUAGAAUUCCCUACCGACAACAUAUCGAAAUAAUAGAUAUCUAUCUAAGAAUUUAGGUUUUAGGGUUUACAUAUGCUCAUAUGUUUUGUUAUAAUUCCAAUUGAAACAGAUUUUUUUUUUUGAAAAAAUCAAUACUAAUUGGUUCUGUUUCAAUUGGAAUUUUUUUAGGUCAUUAGGAAAACACAAUUUAAGAUUCCAAUCCCAGAAUUGUUCCUGAAUUUAAAGUAAGCAAUCAAUAGUUACUGGUUCCAAUUUUUCGGCUGAAAAUACACAUUUGGUUUCUUAAUAGAAAAGCGAUAAAAUGUUUUUAGCAUUGUGUAUUUUCAGAUACUGGAAGGAUAGAUCAAAUACAAUCAAAAAGGGAUCUUUUUUUUAGUAAAAGGAUUAGGAAAAACAGGAAUCAAAAUGAAAGUACAAUAAAAAUUCAUAAAUUCGGGAAAAAUUUAAUCUAUUUUAUAUCAUUUUGGCGGCAUGGCCGAGUGGUAAGGCGGGGGACUGCAAAUCCUUUUUCCCCAGUUCAAAUCCGGGUGUCGCCUGAUGAACAAAAAACUUGAAAGCUCUGCUUCUCUUCUGCUGAUAGAAUUCGCAAAAUUCUUCCCCGCUCAAAGCAUACAAAGUUGUUUGAUUCUAAGCAUGUGAUCCGGGGUUUUCGAAAAGAAAAGAUUGUGAAUCUUCAGUCACAUCUAGGAUUCAAAGAAAUAUUCGAAUACACGGGUCGAAGGACUAUUAAGACUUCAUGAUUCCUUUCUAUUACUAGGAGUGUCUAAUCACUGGGUCUUGACUCAGAUUCUAGAACCUGAGAGAAAAUUCAAUUAAUAGUUUUGGAAAGGGCCGGAGGUUGCUUUCUAUACGACGGCCUCACAAAAAUCUCUGAGUGCUCCGGUAUCCAAUCAAUAUUUACUAUUGAUUUCUCCCCUUCUGUGUUGACUUACGAAGGUCAACAAAACAAAAAAAAUAGACCUUCUUUUUAUUAUUCCUACAUGUUCUCAUUCCCUUGGGAUGUUACCACGUAUUUUACUUGUGUUUAAUCUUUCCCAAUUUGAGAUCAGAAUCGAUUUUUUGGAUUGGUUUCUCAAUAGUGUUCGGUCAGAAUCCCUUUUUGACUCUGCACUAUGGAUUCCACUAUUAUAAUUCUAAUAUUAUUAAUGAGGAAUAAUUCCUUCGUAUUUAUAGAGAUCGAGAUAGAGGACAUAAUUCACAUGGAUAUAGUAAGUCUCGCUUGGGCUGCUUUAAUGGUAGUCUUUACAUUUUCCCUUUCACUCGUCGUAUGGGGAAGAAGUGGACUCUAGAAGCACUACUAACUGAGUUGAAGAAUCAAACCGUAUCAAUUGUUUUAUAGAUCGUUCUGCAACGCGUUUUGAACUUAAAAAAAAAUCUCUGAAUUUGGAAUCCAGUUGGAUUCCAAUAGAGUAAUCUAUGAUAUGAAUGAUACUCUUUCAAUCAAAGAGAUAUUUCAGCGAUUCCCGUGCUUGUAUUUGGAAAAGAAAUUGAUUCCAACCAAAAUUUUCUAUUUCAUGGGUUCUUACUAUCUUUAUAGGUAUAGAUGGAUAGUGAGGGAAGACCAGAUCUUUUUUUGAUUUCUUUCCUGUUCAAAGAAGAAGUCGUUUUGUUAAGCAUAUACAUACUUUAUAUGAGAAAUGAUAUAGAGAUAGUGGUUGUCUAACAAGAAACAUAAGAUCUUGCCUCGGACAAAUCACAUAUUGGGCAUUUACCAUAAUUUGAGAAAGGCGAUUUAGCCUUUAUCAACUUAAUUUCAUAUCAUGCUUUCAGCGUUCAAAAUGGGAAAGGUUUCCUCUUCCUUAUUGAAAUCGAAUCCUACGAUAAGAAUUAUUUCCGAUUGAUCGGAACAAAUAGACGCAGCAAAUUGGGUGUUAUGUCAAUUCCAUACCCAUAACAAUAUAUGGAAUUAAUUUCCGCGUUUAUGAAGAGAAUAUUGGAGAUUGAUCUAUAGAAACUUAAGCCUUCUAGAUUACAACUUUCUAGACUAAGAGAUAGAUGGGAUGGUAAGAAAGAAAUGGAUGAAUCCUUCUACCAUCCGAUCCAUCUCUUAGAAUACUUCCGAUUCUAGUCCGCUCAUUUCAUCUAAGUUAAGACGUGAAAUUCGAAUCCUUUUCAGUUAACUUCGUCAAUUUUUGAUCAGAACUCAGAAGAAAAGUUUCAUUCAAAUGAAUUUCAAAAUGCAAUUGAAUUAAUCAUUUUGACUGACUGUUUUUACGUAAAUGAUAAGUAGAAAGGCGGUAGGAACUAGAAUGAAUAGUGCAGUAGCAAUAAAUGCAAGAAUAUUUACUUCCAUAAUCUCAUUGGUUUUUUUACUUCGCAAUAACUCGGGAUUUAAUCCCCUAGAGACGAUAAAUCUUUCGUCUGUAAAUUCAAUGAAUGAAUUACCUCUCGAUGUCGGAUCAAUAUCAUGAAUAACAAUAUCUGAUCUAUCAAAUCAAUUCGUUGUCGAGACUUGAUUAGUAUAACAUAGGAAGUUCUUUUCUCCAUAUCGAAUCCAAAUUGGGAUUCCUGACCCAAUCAAUCAAAAAUUUCUUUAUUUAGCAUCGGUUUCUUUUUUUGUUCUAGAACUUACCUUGCGUCUUCGUUGGACAAUCAUCUGAUGAGGGAUUAUCAGAUUGCCCCCCCUUCGAUUAAUCACAUAGUUACAAACUUAAACAAACAAUAAAGAAAAAUAGUAAAAAAAAAAAAAAAAGAAAUCAAGACUCCCUUUUGCUUUGGAAAUGAGAGUAUGUCCCCGACACCCUUUACUAGUUCAAAAAAAGGGAAAAAUAAAUUUAUGCAUUUACUGGAUGUUGGAUCCGUCGGGACUGGCGGGGCUCGAACCCGCAGCUUCCGCCUUGACAGGGCGGUGCUCUGACCAAUUGAACUACAAUCCCAGCGAAAUAAGGGAUCUAGCAGAAAAUUCGAUUCUUUUUUUAUCUUCGUAUGGGAUGACAGGGGGUUAUACAAUCUCAUGGUGGAUUGGCAAAUUAUUGGGCCGAGCUGGAUUUGAACCAGCGUAGACAUAUUGCCAACGAAUUUACAGUCCGUCCCCAUUAACCGCUCGGGCAUCGACCCAGGAAAAAUCCAUUUUAGGCUUAUUGAUAAUCCAUGAUCAACUUCCUUUCUGUAGUACCCUACCCCCAGGGGAAUUCGAAUCCCCGUUGCCUCCUUGAAAGAGAGAUGUCCUAAACCACUAGACGAUGGGGGCCGACUUGACCAACCGCCCUCAUACUAUGAUGAUAGUAUCAUCAAUUUUUCGAAAUUGUCAAUAUAAUGGAAUGAUUGGAUCUUUCCGUUUUUGAUAAUUAGAUAGAAUUUUUGGAUUCGUCAUUUCUAUUCAUGAAUUGUUCAUUAGAAUCGACAUUCUCUAUAUAACUUUACUAAAAGAAAUCUAGUAAACGGAAUAGUGAAAUUUUUCUCUAAGACUUUAAGACUUUGGGGCAAGUGGAAUCUCAUCAUUCGAUGAAAUUUCUUGAAUUGUUUUUACGUCCAAUCGGUAAGUGUACAUGAAUGUUAUGUAUCAAUCACGGGCAUUUGGUUUUGAUAGGAAUCAUCUCAAUAAAAGAAAUUGGGACCGAUUUUGAAACAAUUCAUUUUACCCUAGACCUGUUAGGCAAAUCCAUUUGAUUAUUUAAAAAUAAGCCAUUAGCUACUAGGAGUCUACUGCAUAUGCAUAUAGUUAUAUAAUAUAUAUAUAGAAUAUAUGUAUAUGCACAUAGGUAGAUUUUAUCUACAUACGUACUCGUUCGGUAAUUAAAUCAAAAAAUCAAAUAAGCCCUUUUAACUCAGCGGUAGAGUAACGCCAUGGUAAGGCGUAAGUCAUCGGUUCAAAUCCGAUAAGGGGCUUUUCUUCUUUUUUUGUUCAUAAAAGUCCAGUCUCCAGUCUAUAGUAUUAAGAAAUUAGAGGGAUUUUUUGUAUUUGGAAUACAAAAGUAACUAACUGGAUAAUACGUUAUCAUUAUACUCAGUUCGAGUAUAGUAGUUCUAGUUCGAAAGUGGAACAUUUAUUCGGGAACUAUUGAUUAUUCUAAAUAAUCAUAAGCCGCCCCUUGAAUCGCCAAAAAUGCCUAAUUUUCGAUUCAAAAUUAACAAAAGAAAAAGUAAGAGGACCUGACCCAUGAAAUUCGGACUCUAUCCGCUAUUCUGAUAUUCAAAUUCGAUAGAGAUGAAAUUUGAAUUACAACAGUCCACCCCGGACUUAGAAAGAAUUUGUCGAUAUUUCCGAUUCAAUCUUCUUGUUCCUAGAUUUUCUAAAUUCUUAUUCCCUCCCUCUACAGAGAAAAUUUUCUUGCAAGUCACAAGAUACAAGAUAAGGGCCAUUUCCAUUAUCUUUCUUUGAUUCCAGAUCAAGAUAAAUUUCGAUCUAUCGA